AAUCAAUAUCGUCUAAAGACUAGAGACCAUGCCACGAAGUCUACAAACCUUCUGCAUCUAGAAUCCCACUGGGCCUGGUCGCUUUCCCAUGGACCAGGUCCUGCUGCUCUACAAUCCCCCCACCAGCCCAGGGAUGGACUGCAGAGGAGAAGGGCAUGUGACACAGUAAAGGCCAGUUCAGAAGAAUAAGAGAAUAUCACAGAGAAGAAAAAGAAGGCUCCUGCUACACCAGAAGCCCUUAAGUAACAGUGAAGGAAUUUCCCAGAGCUGUAGAUCAGUUUCCUGAGAAAGCAGUUUGCCCAAAGAUGCUUCAAAAGGCAAAGAGGAAGCUCAUCAAUGAAGAGCUAGGCUUUAUCUCAAGGAAUACAGGCAGAUGUGCAGAACCGAGAUUUACUAGCUAGGACGGCAACAGAAGCUGGCAACUUCUACUCACCUGCAGAACCCAAACUGACAUUCAUCAGGAUCACAGAGAUCAAGGCUGUCAGCCCAGAUGUCCAAAAGCUGUUGAAGCUUCUUCACCUUUGCUAGAUCCUCAGUGGAAACUUUGUUAAGGUCCAUAUAGCUUCAGUUAACAUGCAGAGGAUUGUAGAACCAUAUGUUACAUGGGGGUCCUCAGACCUGAAGUCAGUAAAUGAGGUUAUUACAAAAGUGGUGACAGCAGAAUCAAUAGGGAAGACCAGACCAACAGGCUCAUUAGAAGAAUGAACUAAGCCAUCUACCCUGACUAUUUUGUAAUCCGAUCAGUUAAUAAACAGUGACUGCUUUCAAUCAAAA